rnacentral:lncRNA from 1 species
UCUUUGAAUAAGAAGAUUGAGAGUUUCUGAAUAUUGUGAAGUGAAUUAUGGAAUGGAAAUGUGAUUGGUAUUAUUUGAAAAGAAAAAAGAUUGAAUGCUGAAAUCUGAUUGUAGUUCAACAGAGAGAGUGAGUCUGUGUUUGUGUGAAACAUUGUAAUGUAAAUGGCAAUUCUGUGUGAAGAAUUCCAUUGAUUGGAACGAGGGUAAUUGUGUGCUGAAAGCUAUGAGGGUGCAGUAUUACAGUUGGAGAUUAUAACGGUGAAUAUAUUGGUGGAAAUAGUAGUUAUUGGUAUGACUGAAUUGCUGUAAAGAAGAGACCGAUAAGGUGAAGGAGGAGAUUAUAG